UACGGAGGGUGCAAGCGUUGUUCGGAAUUAUUGGGCGUAAAGGGCAGGUAGGUGGUCUUGAAAGUCUGCUGUGAAAUCCCCGAGCUUAACUUGGGAAGUGCGGCAGAUACUCCAAGACUAGAGUACUGGAGGGGUUCGUGGAAUUCCUGGUGUAGCGGUGAAAUGCGCAGAUAUCAGGAGGAACACCGGUGGCGAAGGCGGGUCUCUGGGAAGUAACUGACGCUGAGAAGCGAAAGCAUGGGUAGCAAACAGG
rnacentral:rRNA from 1 species